AGAAUUGGGAGUCUUUCAUUGAGGCCAUGCAAUUGAUAAAAAUGACAGUCCAAAUAGAGAGGCUCAAUAAAAGAAUCAGAACUGGAACUGCAUCUCAGGUGAGUAGCCAAGUGCCUCAAGGUGAGCAGCCAUGGCCUUGUUCAUAGGUGGUGGUCCACAUCUCAGUAUCUGCAGACCAUGCCAUCGUAAAUAUUAGCAUACCCAUAUGCCAACGACAAAAUAAAUGGGAGGGUUUGACAAUGUGUUCCUAGUUUUGAGGGCAUAUUCAGA
rnacentral:lncRNA from 1 species